GAUGAACGCUGGCGGCGUGCUUAACACAUGCAAGUCGAACGAAGCACUUUAUUUGAUUUCCUUCGGGACUGAUUAUUUUGUGACUGAGUGGCGGAUGGGUGAGUAACGCGUGGGUAACCUGCCUUGUACAGGGGGAUAACAGUUGGAAACGGCUGCUAAUACCGCAUAAGCGCACAGCAUCGCAUGAUGCAGUGUGAAAAACUCCGGUGGUAUAAGAUGGACCCGCGUUGGAUUAGCUAGUUGGUGAGGUAACGGCCCACCAAGGCGACGAUCCAUAGCCGACCUGAGAGGGUGACCGGACACACUGGGACUGAGCCACAGCCCAGACUCCUACGGGAGGCAGCAGUGGGGAAUAUUGCACAAUGGGCGAAAGCCUGAUGCAGCGACGCCGCGUGAGCGAAGAAGUAUUUCGGUAUGUAAAGCUCUAUCAGCAGGGAAGAUAAUGACGGUACCUGACUAAGAAGCACCGGCUAAAUACGUG
rnacentral:rRNA from 1 species